ACUGCAGAGUAGUCUUCAUAGUCACGAUGCGCUGUGCUGAGGCUGCUGCUUAGAAAGGUGGGGCUUCUUCUCCCUGCUUACCCACGUGUCUGGCUGAUCUCUCAGCUCAGCUGCAGGAGCUUGUUGGUCCUGAAGAGUGGUCUGUCUUUAUUUGCUGAUACUUAAACUUUCCUUCUUGAAAACUGAAUCACUGCUAUUUGGUGCACAUUUUCACCCAGUCUGAGUGCCACCUUACAUCUUUCAUUCUGCAUCUUGAGAAUUCUGUUUUACAGUCAGAGGUGACAACUAGAUCAGAGCAUUGACUGCUCCCAAUUUCGCUUUUACAAAAGAGAGCAAAGGAAGUGGUGAUGUUAGGUUUGGGGGUGAUGAUAAAGUCAGAGAGGGGAACUCCCACUGAAGCCCACAUUAUGAAAAGAGCUGAACCAACUUGUACUCUUGAUCUCCCCUUAAAAGCUGGUUUUGUACCUGAAUGGAGAGAAGUGCAGAUAUUAGAGACCUGGCUGAUGUCUGGUGCUUCAUUGCCCUGAAUAGACAGAAAAAUGCAGACCCUUGGGAAGCAAAGUGCUUGACAGAGCUGAAAGUGAACAGCAGAGGCUGGGAGGAAGCAGGACCAAACAAAUCCAGAAAUCCUCCAAGGCUGUAGCCCUAGGCCCAGCAGGUGGUGGUCAGGACAAAGUAGGAGCAUGUACAGUGUUGAGAUCAGAGUCUUGGGAAAGCACCUGUUACAGGUCAGAGUGAAGGAUGAUCCCAGAAACAAGUCAGACAAGAGGCAGGUUUGUCCAAUAGAACAUAAAACUGUGACGCUUGAAGAUAAACGUGACCUUGACCAGCCCUGAGCAGGACUCUUUGGUCCAACUGCCCGAAAAACUAUUGUCAAGAAAAUGCCCAGUGACCUCCAAACUCCUGACCUUUCAAUUACCUCAGUGGAUGGACCGAGAGAAAGGUGACUUUUAAUAAAACACAAAUAAUAUCACUAAACCAUCAAAAAUUGAAUCCCAAGACGGUUUCUCACUAAAUUUUAUUUUCCCUGCCUCCCUCAAAGGAACUGUGUAUUGAAGUUCUCCAUCUGCUGAUGAUCUCUUAGGCUUAUCUCGGUGUAGUACAUCCAUUUAGCAAUGCAGAUAAUCAGCAUUUGCAGAAUGGCACUCAGUUUUGCAGCUGAAAAGAUUAGAGUAUACAAUCCACCAUUCAUUCUCAAGGGAAGGAGUCAUCGCAUUGAAGCAGUCUAAUUAUGGCCAUCAGUCCAAAUGGCAUGGUGGCCAAGGAUCAACCCCACCAGCAUAGGAAGUUCCAGGCUCCAAGAAAGCCCAGAGGUUUUGGAAUUAGUGAGCUAAGUGAGUUUGCCUCAUUCCCACACAUCUUGCUCCUCACUUCCUUUACUGUGCCCUGUGGUUGGUGACAUGACUGCAUAUCUGCCACUUCUCACCACUUUGUAUAUUCACCCUGCCUUGUCUUGAUUUCUCAUCUUGAUAAUUCUCCCAUCUUUUGCUCAAGACACUUUUAAACAACUCUCAGAGUAACAUCCUUCUUUGGCCCUAGUGAGCAUUUGAAAUAUGUUCUAUAUUCUAAAGAUCCAGAACAUGUGGGCAUUUUCACGAUCCAGCCUGUCACCAUGUGUUGUUUAGCCACACGUGUUCAAAGCAGAUUUCGAGUUGAGUUAUUUCUAGCUGGGCACAAACAGGGUUCCAUUUUCAUAGGCCUCACUCUUCCCUACUGCAUUACAUGGUUUCUUCUUCACUUCUACUACACUACUCCUUCUUUAAAUUACAGAAGCUUAAACAUAAACAAAAGUAGAACAAAGUGGCAUAAUGAAACACCACAAAUCCAUUACUUUGCUUCAAAAUUUCUUAGUACAAAGCUAUUAUUUUUUAUACCUACAUGCCUGUGCUGUAAAAUAGAUGGACUACUUUGAGCCAAAUCAAAGACAUCUUAUAACUUCAUUGGUAAAUAGCUUGUAUUUAUAAGUAGGUAAGAGACGUUCACUUUAAAAAGCACAAAUCAAAUAUCAAUUAAACAUUCAAAUCUCAAGAAUUCUCACAAUCCCCACCCCACCCACCCUCCUCUAUCUUCUCCAUCCCCAUUACACUAUCACUCUUCAUUUGACUGGUUCAAAUCAGAAGUCAAAUGAAGUUGACACGUUGUGUUUGGUUGAUAUGUCAACAAAGUCACUUAUAAUUUAUCAUUUCUUAUCUUGUAAUUUCUUUUUGAAAAUGUUGAGUUUAUCACAUUUGCCCUUUUCCCAGCAAAAGGCAUCCCAGUGUCUCCUCACUAUGGAGUGGAAGGAGCAAGAGGUUUAUAAUAGCAUCUUGUUAUAUUGAAGUCACAAGCUACCAGCAUCUUCUUAUAUUGAAGUCACAGGCAGGAUUUAAAUUCAUCUUAUAUGUAAGUAUGGUAUCCCAGUGUGUCAGUGAAGAGACAGAUGUUACUGAGAUCACCUUGCCCAGGGACGCAUCUCCUAAUAUCUGCAAGGAUGUCCUGUAUACCAAAAGUAUAGCUUCAUUCCUUCUAAUCCCAAAGACUCUCAAAUAAAGCAAAUCUGCGGGAGGACAAAGAUGAUGGUAAGCACAGAGGAGAAUGGGUAUCAAUCACUUACAUCAUUAGGAAGGAGUGAAAUCUUACAAUGAUCUUUCCCUCUGCUUUCUUCCUUUCAGGUGAUCUAACUUCCUGUGCCAGCAUCAUCAUUUUACAAUAAGAUUUGACUUUGGUUAAAGUUUGAAAUUCUCCUCUGAGGAAACACAUUUCAGGAUGUUAUCUUUCAUGCAUACCUUAUCAUGAAGAAAGGAUCCAACUAUUCAUAAUCUAGAUUUCCACUGAUUUCUUUAACCACAGUUUGAUAACAACCACCAGUGAGGUAGUCAGGUCCAGGUCUUAUGGAACUUUAUUCUGUUCAUUGGGAAUGUGGGUUUUAUUGAUGAGGGAGUGAUAAACUAUUGGAGAAUUCUCAAUUGUGGCGUCAUGUCUUCUGAGUUAUACUUUUACAGGAAUGAUUCUGGUUGCUCUGAAGGAACAGAUAGAUGUGGGGAGACAAGAAUAAAAGCAAGGAGGCUUGUAACUGGCUGUUUUCAUACUAGAGGAACUUCAGGACUGAAUCCUGCAGUAGAAGCAAGAACAGGCUAUUGGGAGACUCUGGUCCUCAACUGCACAAAGAAGGGCCCAUAUCCUCAACUCUGCCACAGACCUCUUUGAUUCCAGUUGGAAGCCUGGAGAUUUCACUGCUGCUGAGGAGGGUUCCAGGGACUGGGAAACCUGAGCUGUGAGCUGAGCUUGGGUGAUCUGUUUCCAUCUGUGGUCUGGUGCUGAUGGUUUCCAAGGCAGGAAUCAAGUCAGUCCUUGAAGAGCUACAACAGAGCAAAAGUGCAGCAGGUAAACAAAGCAACACGAAGGCUAAAUAAAAGUCAUUUCCCCAAGCAAAAUAAGGGUAGGGACCUUCAGAUGGACAGAUUAGCCUGGAUUAAGCAGAUGGAGAAGCCGAGGAUCAAGGAUCGGGCCAGGAGCCAAGGAAUACUGCCACCUCUAGAAGUUGGGAACGGCCCUCAGCUUACAGCCACUAAGAAAAGGGGGAUUUUGGCCCUCUAGCUGCAAGGAAUCUAAUUCCACUUGAAUUAACAAGGAACAUCCAGGCAGGAAUGUAGCCCUGACAACACCCUAAUUUAGGCCAGUCAGGCCCGGACAGACUUCUGACCCACGGAAUUCUAAAAUAAUUUGUGUUUCUUAAACCAUCAAAUUUGUUGUAAUUUGUUAUGGUAGCAACAGGAAUCAAAUAUACCUCUCUACUUUUACAAGAUAUUGUUGUCUGCAGCCUGUUUGAAGUCGGUGACUAAACACAGCUGGUUACUAUGGCAGGCCCAUUCUGAAGAGUUGCAGGACACCCUCGGGAGUACUUUGGUUUGAAGCCUCCUCAUCACCUCGGCUGCCGUUUCUGGGAUCUGGGUUGCAGUCUGAGGCUCAUUUUUCCAAUUCCCAAUACUUCCUACUGAUGAUAUUCUUGAGAGUCAGGCUUUAUCAAGAGAGAAAAAGGACUUUAAAAUUUUCAAACUCCUUUUUAAAUAUCAGAGAUUUUUUUGGCCUACUUUGAUUACAGGUCCUUACUUAUAAGUCUCUCCUUCCUAGGGAGAAAAUAGAAAGCUUUAAGAGACAGAUUACACUUUACCUGACAUUCAUUUUUGCAUGCCUUGUUAAACAUGAAAGAAUGUGUUAAGGCCAUUUUUUAUUGUUUAAUUUGUUGUUUUGACUUUGGGUGUGUGUGUUUGUGUCAAUUAUUUUUUAAUCUACUAGAACAUUCAUUAUCCUUUUUAUUUUGGAAAACAAGGGUGAGAAAGGUUACGUGAUCUGGAGGUAAAAAUACACCAUUAUGUAAAGUUGAAGUGUCAUCCCCUGAAUCCACAUUGCACAUCUAUAAAGUAGAAGAACUUGUCUUACUCCAGUGUUUAGUAUUCGUUAGGUUAAUGUUUUUCAAACAAGCUUGAUAGUAAGAAGCAUUUGAGACUUUUGUUUAAAAUACAUCCCCCUCUACCACUGAAAGUUUAAUUUGGUAAGUUUGUUUGGACAUACAGAUUCUGUAUUUCUAAGAAAUAUUUAGAUGGUUUUUAUCAGACUUGGAGGUCCUCUUAUUGAAAAUAAAAAAGUAGACAUGCUCACGAUGAAGUUUACCUUUUCUUUCUAUUCAUCUAUUUUAAAAAAUAUUUAUGAAAAAUGCUUGCCUGCUGCUUAGCUUGAUUUAAGAGAUAAACUGAUCAGACAGAAUGUCAAGCCAGCCAGCAUCUCCUGGUCUACACCAAAGCCUUUCCUACUUCUUUCAAACAGUGAAGGCACCAGGACAGAGU
rnacentral:lncRNA from 1 species